CCGCGAAGCUGUCGGAUUGAUGCUGUAAUUGAUGGGAAUAGCACACGAGUCCAGGUUUGAGAUUGACUCGUAUGAAUCUAAGAUAUUGUAAUUUUGGAAGGACCCAAUUGAAAAAAAAAAUCCGAAAUGUUGUAUGAUGUUUGCAAAUGGUGUGCUGUAGCUGUAAUUAGUACUAUCCAGAAACAAUGUCAAUCGAAUUUGUAUUGUAAAAUUGCUGUUUUACACUAUCUGGUUCUGGUUUCUGUAUUAUCUAAUAAAGUGUGGUGUGGGGAAAUUUCACUAAGACAUUAUCCACCUCUAUAAAGCUAAGGCUCGCGAACUUCGGCAGCUUUCAUACAUUAUACUUUACCUUGCUCGUGCUAUUUAUAAAGAGAGCGUGUUGUCAAUUAUAUAAGAAAGUCUCAUACUUUAAUCCAUUCGAGUGUUCAUUGAUCGAUUAGAAUAGAUACUAUACUUGAUGUUAAUGAAAGGGCCGAGAGAGGAUUUUAUGAAACGCACAUUUAGAACGUCGAAGGUUGGGAUACACGCUUGCAUGCACAAACAUAAGGAUCAUUUGUCUGUUUAUGGUGAUGGAUUUUCUGUGUUUUUUCGCAGUUAGGGAUAAUGGAAAUUGUUGUUUGCUAUGGCUGCUGGUUUAUGGUUAAUCGAGUUUGCGAUUAAAGCCCAAUAUAGAUAAUUUUUCUCUAAAUGCCCACAUGGACAUGUGUAACCAAUGCUGCUGUCGUAUCCUAUGAACUAAUGUUUGUUGACGAGUGUUAGGGCAUAUGGAAGGGAGUGUUGUGAUACCAUUCAUGUUACUGCUAUUUGAGAUGUGGAUUCUUUGUCUUCUCUUUUGCAUGCUUGCUAUGUGACUAUUUAGGCCAAGAGUCUACAUUUCUGGUAUUCUGGUUGCAGCUUGUAAUGUGUAAUCUUUUUCCAUCAAAUGAAUUGGAAUAUGACGCUUUUGUAGAGUGGUUUGCUCAUUAAUGCUUCUCUCCUUGUAUCUUCCCCUUUGUGUCUGUGUUGCCGACCUCAAAUCUGAUAGCUGUUGUUCCCUUAGUUGAUGUCUUCUGUGUUGAAAAUAGUAAUGUCUUUGUUGCAAUGAGCUCUUUCAAUCUUCAACUUCACGAGUUUCGGAUCAUUUGACUUGAGAUCAUCCGAAAGAUGAAUGCUUAGAUUUUUCAUAUUCGUGAGUUUAUGACGCAUUUCUAUUAAGUUGGAUCGCCAUUCUCUUUUCUUUCGCAAUCACCAUUUCGUCUUCAUUACAUUACUGUGAUGUAAUGUUUAUCUGAGGAUAAUGUGAAGAACAUGAACCAACUAACCAAGUGUAGAUGACAAACUUAAGGAUAAUGUUAGACCUACUUGAGCUUACUGACAGAUAAUUGACUUUGUAUGUGCAACUUAUCACUAGCAUGGGCUUGUAUUUUCUGUCGAAAAAUUGUUUCGUGACGUCUCUACCGCGAAAUAGGGGGUUAGCUUGGCAAUUCUAUAUGGUAUCUUAAGAUUUGGAUGGCCUGGAUUUCAGUUUCUGUAAUGGUAGCAGUAAGUAAACUCAUUAUGUACCUGACAUUGGUAUUGUACUUUCAUUCCUUGACGAGCUGUUGGGGGAGGUCCAUCAACGAAAAUUCAAUGGUUCCCGGAGCAUCCUAUACUCUUGGGUUUUUUACCGUUAGAUAUUUGAUUAAUAUAUCGUUGAAGGACUCGGCCAACAAUCUACAUGGAAACUAUGGAGUGAAUACUCACAUUUGAGUAGCCUAGUUUUUGUGCUUUAAUUGUGCUAGGUUUCCUGACUUGGGGAUUUGAAUAUAUUGUUUUCUUGUGCUUUUGGGUUCAUUAUUUCUCCUGAUUGGCCAACUUGUUGACGAAAUAUUAGGCUGCUAUUGGUAACUGAUGGGUGAGAACACGACCUGACGCACCGUUCUCACCGACACACCAAAUUUCAUAAAAUAAUUGACUAAUACUAAAAUUAAAAAAUAACAAAUUUUUAAUUAAUUAUUUUAUGACACUUAAUUUAUUGAAUCGUAUUUUCGGUAUAUUGAAAACUUUCUUAGAGUGGUUAGAUGAUGCAUUCAAGGGGACGGACUUCUUUUUUUGAUUGUAAGUGGAUGGAUUAGCCAAGAGUGGAAUAAAUCAAUUAAUGGACUCAUUCCCAAGGAGGAUGUGACACAUUCAAAUGAUCCAUCCAUCCACAACUUGAUUGAUUCAACUCCCUCUCCCUUAAAUAAAUUCAGAAUAAUGCUCGUUAGGAACGGUGGUCAACUUUUAUCAAGAUAAGAGCAAGUCCACCCUUAAAAAAAUACAUCAAUAUUCAGUCUAUUUAAUCCACUCAAUGAACAGUGAUAUAUCCCAAUGAAUAGUAAUAGGUUAAAUGCAUAUUCAUUCUUAAAAAAUGCAUUGGCACAAAGUUUAAAAAAUACGAUGGCACAAACGAUAUCCAUUCCUACAAAAUGCGCCGUCACCCACCUCAUUUAAAAUAAUAUUAAAUUUUUUAUAAAAUAAUAAAUAAAAAAUAGUUUUAAUUUCAAAUAUGAUUUUUAACUAAUCUCGUCACGCCACGUUUCAUUAUUAUAAUAAAAUUACAUAAACUCAAUAAAUAAACUUAAAAAAACACACUAAAUAAACUAAGAACUUAAUUGUUCCACCACAAGCUCCUUUUAAUUAUCUUGACCUUGUUGCAAUCCCCAUUGGUGUUCAAUCAAUUCUUCCUUGAGAUUGACCAAUUCUUCCUGUUGUGCCAACUAUCUUUUCUGUUGCUCCUCAAAUUGUUUAUACAUUUUUCUUGAAGAAGACAUUGUAAGAACUCAAGAUUUGAAAACGAUGAAGGACUCUCAGCUAAAAAGAAGGAUUGAUUUCGGUGUGAGGCAUUUGUCGUCGCCGGCGACAGCGAAGCUGUCGGAUUGAUGCUGUAAUUGAUGGGAAUAGCACACGAGUCCAGGUUUGAGGUUGACUCGUAUGAAUCUAAGAUGAUGUAAUUUUGGAAGGACCCAAUUGAAAGAAAAAAAAUCCGAAAUGUUGUAUGAUGUUUGCAAAUGGUGUGCUGUAGCUGUAAUUACUACCAUUCAGAAACAAUGUCAAUCCAAUUUGUAUUGUAAAAUUGCUAUUUUACACCAUCUGGUUCUGGUUUCUGUAUUAUCUAAUAAAGUGUGGUGUGGGGAAAUUUCACUAAGACAUUAUCCACCUCUAUAAAGCUAAGGCUCGCGAACUUCGGCAGCUUUCAUAA
rnacentral:lncRNA from 1 species